UACGAAGGGGGCUAGCGUUGCUCGGAAUCACUGGGCGUAAAGCGCACGUAGGCGGAUCUUUAAGUCAGGGGUGAAAUCCUGGAGCUCAACUCCAGAACUGCCUUUGAUACUGGGGAUCUCGAGUCCGGAAGAGGUGAGUGGAACUCCGAGUGUAGCGGUGAAAUGCGCAGAUAUCAGGAAGAACACCCGUGGCUAAGGCGGCUCUCUAGUACGGUACUGACGCUGAGACGCGAAAGCGUGGGGAGCGAACAGG
rnacentral:rRNA from 1 species